rfam:Loxodonta africana unplaced genomic scaffold scaffold_11, whole genome shotgun sequence.
GGUGGUUAAGUGUUUGGUUGCUAACCAAAAGGUCGGUGGUUCAAACCCACCAGCCACUU